GCAGACACAUUCCAGCCAAUCAGCAGCAGACCCUCCCUCCCAGACACUCCCACCUCCUGGACAGCAUCCAUUGUGAAGCUGCAUUCUUAGUGAGCUGUCCAGGAUGUGGGAGGGUCUGGGAGGGAGGGUCUGGGAGGGAGGGUCUGCUGCUGAUUGGCUGGAAUUUGUCUG